UCGGGUAUGGUGUAACGGCUAACAUUAUCGCCUCUCAGGCGCUCUUGAGCGACCACGCGAUCGCGAUAGCUCGGGGUUCGAUUCCCCGUACCCGAA